rnacentral:rRNA from 1 species
UAGGGAAUCUUCCACAAUGGGCGAAAGCCUGAUGGAGCAACGCCGCGUGUGUGAUGAAGGGUUUCGGCUCGUAAAACACUGUUGCAAGAGAAGAAUGACAUUGAGAGUAACUGUUCAAUGUGUGACGGUAUCUUACCAGAAAGGAACGGCUAAAUACGUGCCCG